rnacentral:rRNA from 1 species
UACGGAGGGGGCUAGCGUUGUUCGGAAUUACUGGGCGUAAAGCGCACGUAGGCGGCUUUGCAAGUUAGAGGUGAAAGCCCGGGGCUCAACUCCGGAAUUGCCUUUAAAACUGCAUCGCUAGAAUUGUGGAGAGGUAAGUGGAAUUCCGAGUGUAGAGGUGAAAUUCGUAGAUAUCAGGAGGAACACCCGUGGCGAAAGCGGCUCUCUGGGACGGUACUGACGCUGAGACGCGAAAGCGUGGGGAGCAAACAGG